CACCUUCUGCAGGCUGGCCGACCCACAGGCUGGGCUGGGCAAGUAUCUCUUUGAAAGUCCCACUCUCAAGCACGACUACUGAGC
rnacentral:pre_miRNA from 1 species